rnacentral:snRNA from 1 species
UCUGAGAAGGGUUCGAGU